CGAUCUGCUGGGGGCAGAUAAAAUGGAUAUGGGUAUCCAGCCCGCCUGCCGUCAGGAUCAGUCCUUCUCCCGCCAGCGCCUCCGUGCCUGCACCGAUCACCAUUCCCGGCGUCACCCCGUCCAUAAUGUCCGGAUUCCCGGCCUUGCCGAUUCCGGCAAUCUUUCCGUCCCGGAUGCCCACAUCCGCCUUAUAAAUCCCGGUAUAGUCCAGGAUCACGCAGUUGGUGAUCACCAGAUCCAGGAUCUCCUCCGCCUGAUAAUGGGAAGCCGCCUGACCCAUGCCGUCGCG
rnacentral:sRNA from 1 species